UACGUAGGUGGCAAGCGUUAUCCGGAUUUACUGGGUGUAAAGGGUGAGUAGGCGGGUCUGCAAGUCAGGUGUGAAAUACUGCGGCUCAACCGCAGAAUUGCAUUUGAAACUACGGAUCUUGAGUGUCGGAGAGGUAAUUGGAAUUCCCAGUGUAGCGGUGAAAUGCGUAGAGAUUGGGAGGAACACCAGUGGCGAAGGCGGAUUACUGGACGAUAACUGACGCUGAGGCGCGAAAGCGUGGGUAGCAAACAGGAUUAGAUACCCGGGUA
rnacentral:rRNA from 1 species